AUUGAACGCUGGCGGCAGGCCUAACACAUGUAAGUCGAGCGAGCGGCGGACGGGUGAGUAAUGUAUGGGGACUGCCCGAUAGAGUGGGAUAACUACUGGAAACGGUAGCUAAUACCGCAUACUAUCGGAUAACCCAUAUGGGAUUAGCUCGUAGGUGAGGUAAUGGCUCACCUAGGCGACGAUCCCGAGCUGGUCUGAGCGGAUGAUCAGCCACACUGGGACUGAGAGACGGCCCAGGUUCCGACGGAGGCAGCAGUGGGGAAUAUUGCACAAUGGGCGCAAGCCUGAUGCAGCCAUGCCGCGUGUAUGAAGAAGGCCCUAGGGUUGUAAAGGACUUUCAGUCGGGAGGCGUUACCGACAGAAGAAGCACCGGCUAACUCCGUGCCAGCAGCCGCGGUAAUUC
rnacentral:rRNA from 1 species